rnacentral:rRNA from 1 species
UACGGAGGGUGCGAGCGUUGUCCGGAAUCACUGGGCGUAAAGGGCGCGUAGGUGGCGCGGGCAGUCAACGGUGAAAGUUCGGGGCUCAACCCUGAAUCGGCCGUCGAUACUCCCGGGCUUGAGCACUGUAGAGGCAGAUGGAAUUCCGGGUGUAGCGGUGGAAUGCGUAGAGAUCCGGAAGAACACCGGUGGCGAAGGCGGUCUGCUGGGCAGUAGCUGACACUGAGGCGCGACAGCGUGGGGAGCAACAGGAUUAGAUACCCCGAG